CGGGUGAGUAAUGGAUAAGUAACCUGCCCUUAAGUGGGGGAUAACACUUCGAAAGAAGUGCUAAUACCGCAUGUGGUGCUCUUUCACAAGAAGGAUCACUAAAACCGCAAGGUGCUUGAGGAGGGGCUUGUCUCCGAUUAGCUAGUUGGUGGGGUAACGGCCUACCAAGGCGAUGAUCGGUAGCUGGUCUGAGAGGAUGGUCAGCCACACUGGGACUGAGACACGGCCCAGACUCCUACGGGAGGCAGCAGCGAGGAAUCUUGGACAAUGGGCGAAAGCCUGACCCAGCGACGCCGCGUGAGGGAUGACGGCCUUCGGGUUGUAAACCUCUUUUCUCAGGGAAGAA
rnacentral:rRNA from 1 species